rnacentral:misc_RNA from 1 species
AUGAAGAACGUAGCGAAAUGCGAUAAGUAAUGCGAAUUGCAGAAUUCCGUGAGUCAUCGAAUCUUUGAACGCACAUUGCGCCCUUUGGCAUUCCGAAGGGCAUGCCUGUUCGAGCGUCAUUUAUCAACCCUCAAGCCCGGCUUGCGGUUGGGUCCCGCCGUGGGCGACCACGGCGGACCCGAAAGGUAAUGGCGGUGCCCGUGGGGCCCUGGACGCAGCGAGCUUCUCGGCACGCGUCCCGGCGGUCCCCGGCGCCGUCUCCACCAAUCCACCACGCAGAUUGACCUCGGAUCAGGUAGGGAUACCCGCUGAACUUAAGCAUAUCAAUAAGCGGAGGA